AAGAAUUUAAGUUAAUAAAACUAAUAGCCUUCAAAGCUAAAAUUAUUUGUAAUAAUCAUUUAAUUCUUA
rnacentral:tRNA from 2 species